AUUGAAAGGCUUCAAUGAGAUGAUGUAUUUCAAGCUUCUACUAAAGUACUAGAGUAAGCAUUUAAUAUAUGAUAGAUGUUGUUGUUACUACCACAACAGCAUUUCAGCAAGACAAUUUAGAGAAAUUUAUUUUCUUCUGGUUUGACACAGUUAUCUAGAAAAAUAAUAGCAAUUAUUAUUGUUGUUGGCUUCAGAUCACUUCUCUCCAACACACUCAAGUUCUGCUGCCUCUUCACCAUGAUUUCAUCAUGAGUUGCACCCAACUGUUGAUUGGAGCAUUUCCCAGGAAAAAAACCUCCCUGCUAUGGUCCACUUCAUAAGCAAUUCUUGGAGGCGUACGUCCUUCUCAAAGCUUAUCCAGUUGGAUUUCUCUAAUUCCUGCGUGGGUUAAGCACAGGCUUUCCAUGAUUAUUUCCCAUCUAUGCCCUUCUCAAACAUGCUUGCUGCAUUUAACCUCAGGCUACAAAUAAUAUGUGCCAAUAAACAAUAUAGAUACAAUUCCUUCUGAUGUAGCAUUUACCCAAUAAGCUAGCCACAUUAGCUUCUUUUAUAUCACCUUACAUCAUACAGAUAAGAAACCAUCUGAUUCAGUUUAGACAAAGAGCCUUAUCAGAUAUAGGGCACUAAUUGCCUAGGUUAGAGAAUCAGGGAAGAGUUGACAUCAUUUUGCAAAAGUAGAUUUAUGUAGUAGAUCAGCAUGGUAUAUAAAUGCCUGGAGACCCUCACAGAAGAUCUGAGAAAUCAAAAUGCUAUUUUCUAAAAAGAUGUGUUUUUUGCCUUUUUCUGUGUUAACACUUUUUGGGUUUUUUCAUUUAUUUUUUUUAUUGGUACACAAAAACCAGAUACUGAUUGAGGUUAAAAUGCUAACUUGAACUGUAAAUGUCUUAAAAAGAGAGGAGAAAAGUCAAUGGGAUAAAAUUUAACAGAAUGAGUUCUGAAAUUUCAAUUUAAACAAAUUCUAUAAGUAUAAGUCAGAGGCUGGCAAUAGUACUUUGCUGUCAAAUUUAGUUGACCCCUGGUCAGUGGGAGAUUGUAGUGGGGGGUAUGGCUUCAUAAAAGCUAUCAAAAGCUUAUCCUGUGUUUAAUAGUAGUAGUAAUAAGUUAAAGCGUGUUUUGGUUAAAGAAUGAAUUCUGAUCAGAAAAAUGACUUACUCGAGCCUAAAUGUCAUAGAGCAAGAUGCAUGGAGGUAGCUGCCCAUGGCUGAGAGUUUUGCUUCAGUGAUUUGCUACUAUCUCUGGUAAUCUCUUAGCCUUUCCCUCAUGGUGACCAUCUCUCAGUCACAGAUGGCUGCUGCAACUUGGGCUAAUGUUCAAAUUGAAGGCAGGGAGAAGGCAAAAGAAUAGCCACAACCAUGUUUGUCCUUUUCCAAGCAACAAUGAGAAGGUUUCUCAUUGUCUAGAACUAAAAACAUGUGCUUUUUGCCUUUCUCUGUGUUAACAGUUUUUGGGUUUUUUCAUUUAUUUAUUUUUUAUUGGUGCAAAAAGCCAGAUAUUGAUUGAGGUUAAAAUGUUAACUUGAACUGUAAAUGCCUUUAAAAGAGAGGAGAAAAGUU
rnacentral:lncRNA from 1 species